GUUAUAAUGCUUAUCAUCAAUCGGAUUGGUAGAAUUUUACAUUAUUUUGUUGCAGGCUAAUCCGGAUCUUCACUUCACUGUGGCUCACUUCUACCUCCUUCUUCUAAUGAAAAAUCAAAAAAAAUAAGAGAUCAUCAUUCAACGCGUUCGAUUGGACCCGCUCGAUUGGACCUGGAAACGUCUAAUCGUCAUCCAGACUUUAAUUGGUUGAGGUCUAAAUCGUGUCGACAAUUUGAGGUGCCCGAUCGUUUGUUCGUGUCUGGAUUCGAUAAUCAGGAUGGAGGAUAUUCGUUCUGGAACGGGUAAAACAACAGAUACAAGAUGCAUGCAUGUGUGAAUGAAGUGAAUGAGACCCUUGGAAUUUUUUUUCCUCAUUUCUGAGGUUUUUUUUGUAUACGUAUGAGACCUUUGUGAAGUAUGAGAAAGUAUGAGACCCGUGAACUUUUUUUCCUCAUUUCGGAAUGAGGUUUUUUUUUAUAUACGUAUGAGAAUGAGACUCUUGUGAUAAUCAAAUUUUUUUCCUCAUCAUGUUGAGGUUUUUUUUGAAAUACAAACAUUUGUUUUAACUGUCAAUCACGUCUUAUUUUUUUACAAAGGUUUAGGAUCGUGAAUAUUCUCAAAAUACGUACAAGUUAUAGUCGAAAUACGAUGGUUUGGAGGGGUUUAAUUAAAUUCGGCUCUUUUGAUGACGCUGCCAAAUUUUUAUAGCCGUCGACUGGUUUAUGUGGCAGCCACAGAGAAUAGCCGAAUAUUAAAUUCGACUGGUUAACAGACUUGAAACAGUUCAAUUAUUUAUCAGAACACGUCAUGACAAAUAGUCGAAUUUCAUUUUUCGACGAUUUAUAAAUGUUUGUCCAAAUAAAUUCGGUUAGAAAUGAUUUAUGACAAUACACAAAUUCGACUGGUUAUCGGAACAGGUUUUAUUUCGAUUAUUUGACUGUAUUUGACAAAAUUAUCAA